ACUUGAAUGUUGGAUUAUCCCGGCUAUUUAGAAGACUGUUCGAAACAGUCGUUAAAAAUCGAGGGGAAUCUCAAUGUAUUCCAUCCAGAUGAAACAAUGUUGCGAAUGUUGUAGAAACACAUAAUUAGGUUAACUAUACAUACCUUACGCGCAAUAAACUAUUGCCAGCUAUUGAAUUGUUUCAUUGAACCUGUAUUUUGACCACUAAAAAUAUUUAUUACAAGUUGAAUUUUGUUUAGUGAAACAUACUUUCAUAAACAUUCCAUCCAACCACCCCUCAUUUUCCGAGCCGUGCAGCCGGCAGCCGAGUGUCAACAACAGCUGUUUUGGAAAUCUGACUCGACGCCCACUCUGCUGUCCUUGUUGCUCUACACGGAGAACUUCGAAAAUACUAAUUAGGGUGUUAAUUAUUACAGUCGUUGCAUUUUUUAAUUUUAUGCAUUGCCCAGCAUAAGAAAUAUGCACCAUCAACAUAUGUUUUAUACUUCGCCAUGCAUUUUAGAAAAUUAUUAUUUGCAAUGCUUUUCGACUAUUAUGAGCAACACAUGGGACUUGGCCAUUUUCUUUUACAGUUUCAAUUCUUGCUGCUCGCGUCGAAAACAAAAUGUGGCUACUUAUUCGAGAUUUUUUCAUAGAAUCGAUGGUGAUACGAUAGAUCGAUGAUUCUAAGACUCCAUGGUCCCACAACCUUCCGGAUGUGAUCAUCAAGCUAAACGAAGCAGACGCUCCCGAGGAUGUUAGCGGAUUCUAUCUUCUACUCUACAAAUCACCCUCGACUGGCAAAUUAAACUAAUUGGCGAUUCCAGAGGAGAUUUUUUCAUAGAAUCGAUGGUGAUACGAUAGAUCGAUGAUUCUAAGACUCCAUGGUCCCACAACCUUCCGGAUGUGAUCAUCAAGCUAAACGAAGCAGACGCUCCCGAGGAUGUCGAGGAUGUUAGCGGAUUUUAUCUUCUACUCUACAAAUCACCUUCGACUGGCAAAUUAAACUAAUUGGCGAUUCCAGAGGAAGGUCCACCAACGCCCUUGUAUACCGGGAAGCAAGGCGGAAGGUAUUUAAUACUCACCGGGACUCUGUCAAGGAUUCCGUUCCGAUUACACCUAGGAUACACUCAUGCAACUUAUGUAACGUCGGAACCAGGGCAGGCAAUCGUCAGAUUCGUCACAGUGCGAUGACGAAAUAAAAAAAGACAUCGUCAUC